AGCAUAUCAAUAAGCGCAGGAAAAGAAACCAACAGGGAUUGCCUCAGUAACGGCGAGUGAAGCGGCAACAGCUCAAAUUUGAAAUCUGGCCUCUUGGGGUCCGAGUUGUAAUUUGUAGAGGAUGUUUCGGGUACCGCCUCGGUUUAAAUUUCUUGGAACAGAAUGUCAAAGAGGGUGAGAAUCCCGUCUUGGACCGGCGGUAGGGCCUAUGUGAAACUCCUUCGACGAGUCGAGUUGUUUGGGAAUGCAGCUCAAAAUGGGUGGUAAAUUUCAUCUAAAGCUAAAUAUUGGCCAGAGACCGAUAGCGCACAAGUAGAGUGAUCGAAAGAUGAAAAGCACUUUGAAAAGAGAGUUAAACAGUAUGUGAAAUUGUUGAAAGGGAAGCGCUUGCAACCAGACUUGAGCGCGGCGGUUCCCCCUUGCUUCUGCUUGGGUUACUCCGCCGUGUCCAGGCCAACAUCGGUUCUGGGGGUCGGUCAAAGGCUCUGGGAAUGUAUCUACCCACGGGUAGACUUAUAGACCAGGGUGUCAUGCGACCUCCCGGGACCGAGGAACGCGCUUCGGCUCGGAUGUUGGCGUAAUGGUUGUCAGCGACCCGUCUUGAAACACGGACCAAGGAGUCUAACAUCUAUGCGAGUGUUUGGGUGUCAAACCCGGAACGCGGAAUGAAAGUGAACGGAGGUAGGAAGCUUCGGCUGCACUAUCGACCGAUCCUGAAGUUUACGGAUGGAUUUGAGUAAGAGCAUAGCUGUUGGGACCCGAAAGAUGGUGAACUAUGCCUGAAUAGGGUGAAGCCAGAGGAAACUCUGGUGGAGGCUCGCAGCGGUUCUGACGUGCAAAUCGAUCGUCAAAUUUGGGUAUAGGGGCGAAAGACUAAUCGAACCAUCUGGUAGCUGGUUCCUGCCGA
rnacentral:rRNA from 1 species